GGUGGCAAGGAGCAGUCACUCCUGAGGGGCAGCCCUUCCUGACUGCAGCACGCUGCACAUGUGUGCUUUGUCAGAGGCUGGAAAAGUUCACCGCCAUGGAAAGGAAAUCUAUUAAACGUGCCUCCUGGAGGUAUGGGAGGCUCUCGGCAAGCCUCCCGGGACAGGGGGAAUCUGGAAAAAAGAGAGAGAGAUGCUCGGGUGUGCCACCACCAGCCUUUGCAGAAGCGGCGCGCCAAGCCUUCCCGCGGGGCGUUUCUGCAGCGGCGGCGGUGUCCCGGCCGCGGGUCUGAAGAUGUGCGUGGGACUGGAUGCAUCUGCUGGAACAGACUAUAUUACUCCUGUUUCAUGUGCCCUGGCAAAUCUGAGAGGCUCAUCCCAAGUCCAGCUGCUGAGCCUUUGGAAAGCAGGGAUGCAUCUUGGCAGUGUGUCUCACCACGGCAUGGAUAUUUUCCUGGACCAGCCACAGGAAUGGUCACAGCGUCCUCCACUAAACUCUAGUGUGGAGGAUGGCUAUUGCCACCCACACACUUCCUGCAAUUUCUGCUUAAACACAGUGAUCUUUACUUGCUGCCUGCGGUUGGCCUCAGGGAACCGUCCCAGGCAGGCCAUGCUUGCAGUGAUGUGAAGAAAGGACAGGUUUUGGCAGAGAGACCUCCAAGUGCGCAUGCUGAAGUGGUGGCUGGUCAGAAACAACACCAAAGCUCAGAUGAAAUCAAGGACUUGGAGAUUUUGCAUCCUGCCCCUGCUGCAUCUGUCCUACCAGAGUGUUUUGGGGAAGCUGAUGAGCCAGCCAAUGUCGUGGACAUAGGAAAAAGUACAACAUCUCCAGUGCCCUCUUAUGUACCCUGAAGAUUUUGUACUGGGUGGCAGUCCCUCCAGAGGGAUGUGCACAGGCCACCUGGAUGGCCAGCUCCAUCAUUUUUACUUGUCUCCCCUGUGUGCUCUUCAGACUGACAGUCCCUUUCACCCUGCUCUCUGCACCUCCCUCCCUGCUUGAUGGGAAGGUUGUUCCUCAGGUGCUGGAGUUCAUUCCUGUGUGUGGAACACUGUUCAGCAGAGGAAGCUGUGGGAGGGCCAUCCCAGCUGGAUGAAGUCAUCUUGGAGCAUGGGUGCGGUGGUGAAAGACACACACAGUGAAUUUACAUCUCUUGGAUAAAGGGAGAAACUGAAGAAAGAUUUCCCCUGUGAGCUGGCUUUUAUCGUCAGUGUGAACAUCUUAGUCAGCACAAGCUCAGACUUCUAAAAUUGUGCAGCCGUGUGCUGGGAAAGCUACAGCCCCUGCAGCUUCCUCCUUCCCUGGACCAGCCAAGGGUAAAGGCUCCAGGAUCUGGUGCUCCUCUGGCAGGAAUGGCUGAGCCCAGGCCAGAUGGAUUGGUAUCUUUCAUCCAGAGCACCAUCAAGAGUAAAGAAAAAUUGUAUGGUGAUCAUGGGAAGUCUGAUUGGGAAGCGUGUGAUGGAGGACAUAAAGUUUUAAACUUCAAGGAACCCUUUGAAAUCCCAGGGUUUCCACUUGCUGCCUGGUCACUGUUUCCAUCAGCUGGCCCUUUACCAGACUCCUGGGAAGAUGUCACCUGGCAAUCACAUGCCCCACAGGUUCCCUGAGGUUCAUGCUCUUCCUUGCAGAGCCUUGCAAAGCUUGCAGGAUGGUUUUGGCUGGCUGAAGAGCAGUAGGAGUUGCUUUCUCCUCAUCUUCCUCUCCAGGCUACAUUUCCUGCUAAUACAGGCAGCUCCCUCCUGUGCUGAGAGUAGUUUCCGUGGAGUCAGGAAAUACGAGAAGCAGAGAAGUGGGAAACUCUGGAUCCACUAGACAAGCCUCGACUCUCCUUGGGGGCCUGAAUGUGUGCAAAAGCUGUGGGUGGUCUGAAUUUUGGGUGCUUGAGCAGGAGGCUUUGGAUGUUGGUGUGGAUAUCCAAGUUGCUUUGAGAAUACUUUAGGCUGAAUGAGAAGUGAAUUCCCUAAAUCUCUCCCCUAGGGUCUCAUUGACUUUCAGCAAAAUCGUCCCUCAGAGGCCACUCAGCAUCUUCAUUCAUGGAGUUCUCAGCGAUGCUCUGCUGUCGAGUUCCCUUUGAAAAGGUUUUUGUGCUGUAAUCUGCUGGCUGGUUACUCAACUGGUGCAGCUUACAGACCUCCCCUGGUUGUUGCACGUCUUUUAAUUUUUAAGGGUUUAUUUCAGCUACUUUGUGAAGUGUAAGGAAAUGGGUGAUCAGCAAAAUUCUUCCCAGUAUUUUGGAAGCAUUAGUAAAUGUUGACUAAAGGGCAAUUGCACUGUUGUUUUCAUGGGAACUGUGAAAUAAAGACUGCUAGAUUAGGUGCAAUCCUGAUCUUAAAGUCACAAUUCUUACACAAUGUUUUUUGCACUCUGGUGCAAAAACUCGUAUGUGAGAAUGUGUGCUAGCAAUGAGCCAAGUAAUUCAGCACUGCAGGAAUCCCACCAGCUUCAUCUCCAAGCUGGUAAUGAACAUGGGCCUGGACACGUCCAACUGAUGUGUUUGCCUGCAGAAAUUAUCUACGUACAGUCAAUGACAGUAGCGUCCUUCAGAUGUUGGGUUUGAUGCAGUGAGCAUACGUGACACUUCUGCUUUGCUUCCUCUUCUUGCUGUGCCCUGGACUUAGCUGUGCUCUGCUUUCUGUAAUCUAGCCGGAGACACCCUGUUCCUGGGAAAAGGCACCCUGGGCCUGGAAAAAGGCGAGCUGGGCAGCUGUGUUGGAGAACUUGUGUCAGCCUCCAGCAGCUAGCUGAUCCCCUGUGCCUUGCUGCUCUUUUGCAUGGCUUCAGUACCUGAGCCGGUGUGUUUCCAGCUGGCAGAGGUGUGCCUGAGCAGGGCUGAACAGCAACUGCUUGGAGGACCAGAGUGGUGUGGUUGGAGCAGAGGUGCUUGCUGACGUAGCUGACUAGAUGAACUGGUUGACUGGUUAAAUACUGGUGGGAAAAGAACUUGCAAAGCUGCUUUGCAGAAGUGGGUGGGUCUCAGCCACAUCCUCACUGGCUUUGGUAUUUGUCCUCAAGCCUGAUUUCCAUUUUCUGUACACCCUUUGCUUUCUGCUCUCCUUCUUUUUUGCCAGGAGAUGUCGGCCAGUAGGUUGUGGCAGCCUGUCAGAAGUGACUGGAGAUAUUUGCUGGAUGAACAAAGCCUAUCCACUCCCUGUCCAUCCUGACAAAGACACAGAAGGCAUGGGGCACUCAGUCACCGUCCUGUUGCUCGUCUUUCAAACUGCAGGAGAUGAAUGGCAAUGUCACCUCAGGACACACCACCCUGGAGGCAUUGCCAUGAGAGUCAUGGCAACAUCUCAGCAGGUGGUUUUCAGAAAUCCUCAGACCAAAGCAAACACUGCCACUGAAAAAUGUUGCAAUUCAGCCCAGUUUUGAGGGAAGUGCCCCUGAUAACUUCUCAGCUCCAAAGAGAAGCAGUGGAGGCUGGGGCCACCGAGUCUCCAUGGAAAUCACAGAGGGUCUCACCAGGUCCAGCCCAAAGGAGAUGAGCGGGUUUGAGCUGUGUUUGCACUGUCUGGCCAGGAAGAGAGGACUCAUCUCUGCCACAAAGCUCUCAGAGUGGUUUGUGCUGAAGUGGGAUCCCAGAUCUGGGAUCUACCCAAGAGCUACAUCAUACUGUCUUAGAGAUAGGAAAGCUUCAUAAAGGAAGACUUUGAAUCAGGAGUCCGCUGUGCAUUGCAACAUUUAUCGCUGUGAUUCACAUACCUCCAGUGUUACUGCAAAUCCAGGCAAAGUGUGAAAUGAUUCUCUUCUCCUAUCUUUGAGGAAAUGCAAUGUGCUCCAACCAUGCUGACUCUGAAAGUCAGUUCUAACCUGCUUUGAGCCGCAGAAAUUGUCAGGAUUUUUGAAAAAGCUCAACAAACCUCCACACCACAAUCUAGCCAAUUAAUUUUGAAGUGCUUUGGGAACAACUCAGGUUUCUUUCUUUUCAUCUUAUGCAGCUCCAUAGAAACCCUUGGAGUUCUGCAGGUACAUACCAAGUUAUGAAGGAGCUGGAGGCACUAAGAGAGCUGGAACAUGAUUAACAACUGUCAAAUUACAGGGAACACUCUAAAAUCCCUUAAACCUCUCCUCCCCUCCCCUACUUCAUCCUGGCAACUAGGACAAGAGCCUUUGGCUAGGCUGUCUUUCCCUGAGGCAGUCCCUUCACCUGAGGGAGGAGAUGAUCUGAAACCACAGGCAAGGGUUCAAAAACAUCAUGACAAAAUCCAAUGUCAUGGAAAAAAAGGUGAGAGACUGGAUGAGCUGUAGCACAGGGGAUCAUGUGUAUGCCAUCACAGAGUCCUCAGACUUUCAUCAUAACCACAGCUUCACUGCCAGAUAAACCACCUGCUUUUGUAUUCACAAUUGCAAAAUGUCUCUGCAGCAGCUCUGGCAAUUGCUCAGAGAGGAAAGAAAUAUUUUUCUUGCAUCCUUAGUAUAGCAGGUGUUUAUACAAAUUAAAAAAUAUAUUAAUUCUGCAUUUUAUUUUGGCCCUUUGCUAUAUCCCUGCUCUGUGUCUGAAAUGUUUUCUUCACCAAAGAGACAAGCAGAGGCAGUCAGCUCUUUACAGACAGUGUUUUUAGGUUUAUCAAUGUUAAGGUUGUUUUCUUGUACACAUUUCAGUACUGUUUUUUGGUUUAGAUAGCAUGGGAUACUUUGUUGCCCUGCUGUCUUUAGCAGAAAAACUUAACAAGUUUGUUUCACUCCUGUUUGCCAUGGAGGGCUCAAUCCCAGAGAAAACUGUAGAAGAAACUCAGUUAAUCGAAGGUUAAACAAAAUGAAUGAAGUUUGUGUGGCGCCCUGAAGGUUAUUAGACUCAAGGUCUGAGCAGCUGCCAAGGGGAGUGAGUUCCAGGUCAGGAGCAUUCAUCUGAGAAAUUCCAGUUGCUGAUGUGGAGGGGUUGAACCUGGGAGCUGCAGGCGCCUCCCAGCUGAGCUCGGCUGCCAUGGCUGCCAUGUGGGUAGGACCCCUGUCCCCUCCCACACUCCUGGUCCAGAGAGCAAAUGGAUGGGAGGGCCUGCCCCACUCUGUGGGAGGGCAAUAGGGACUUGCCAAUUGUUCCAGAUGCCUGGCUGCUUCCAUUACCAGUAUGGAGGGAGCAGGGAGCUCUAAAAUCACAAAGAGAGGCAAUUCCUAGGUGUCAGGGCUGAUAAAAGGGCUCAUGGAGCUACAAGGCAAGUCUGGAAGUGGCACCGAGUCAAGGGGUGCAGCAAGCAAUGCAGUGUGACCAGCGGCCAGCUGUGUGUCCUCUGAGCUGUUCUCCAUCCACACAUCUUUGCCUCCCUAUCAGAGUGAUGCUCUGGAGUGGCAGCUGGUUUAUCUUCCUCUUCAGUCCAAGGAAUUGAAAUCACAGGGUAUGGAUGCAAGAUGGAAACAGACAGGCAAAGUGUUGUGAUGUCCUUUCAACUUCCAAGUGUCUUCCUAGUGGCUCUUUCUGUGAUAUAGAAGAAUUUUGACUAAAUAGUCAUUCAGUGGAAACUAUAAAAGCAAAGAUAGAGAUGUAUCUGGGUACACCUGCACUCUUAUUCGUGAAUGUUAAGCAGCAUGUUAAACCUUCCUAUACAUCAGUUUGUGUAUCUCUGCAGCAGUCUCGAUAUUUUAUUCCUCAUUUGUGCCAUAAUUGCAGGAGUCCUUAAUGCCAAGGUAGACACUGAUCUCACUGCAUGUCAGAAUUACAAAAUAUAUGAGAGAGCUGGAAUAAUAAGAAUGUGUAUUUUCUGAAAAAGUAGAAGGUUUCUGGAGGAGGAGUUCUCCCAAAGGGAGCUAAGCUUACAGAUCUAACUCAUUCAGGCCUUUUUCCUUCUGAAGUUGACACACACAUGCACAAACACACUGGCUCCAGUAUCUAUUUCACGGACACAUUCUUCCCAUCUCACUGUGUAAAGGUCUUGAAAGCAAUAGCUACUGGCAGUACCCCAAUUCAACAUAUCUAAUAGGUCCUUCCCAGUUUCAAAAUCACUAAGGACACACAUGGCCAAAUGAAAGCAGGGCUUAAACUACCUUGCUGUCAGAAGCAAUGGAACUAGCUGCCUGUCCUUGUGGGCUUGAUUUGUAGGUUCUUUGUUUUUGUAGUCUUGGUUUGCUGACUGCAUCUCAAGAACUGUGUUGCUAGAGCAACUUAGUUAAUCUAACUCCUGGAAGUAACUCCAACUCCAACUGUUGAAUGCAGGAUUUUUCAAAAUCUAAUAAUACACUGCAGUGGGUUUUCAUUUUUUCCCAAAUUUUAUGGAUUAAUA